UGGUUACUGUGAUGUUGGUUCGGUUCAUUCAGAAACUAUGCAACUAUAUAUCUUGUUGAUUUCUGAUUGAGCCGUGCCAAUAUCGUAGUACUCUUU
rfam:Zostera marina strain Finnish scaffold_173, whole genome shotgun sequence.